GCGGUGAAAUGCGUAGAUAUCGAGAGGAACACCUGCGGCGAAGGCGGGUAGCUGGGCCGACACUGACGCUGAGGCGCGAAAGCCAGGGGAGCGAACGGGAUUAGAUACCCCGGUAGUCCUGGCCUUAAACGAUGGAUACUUGGUGUCCGGGGUUACAUAGUCCCCGGGUGCCGGCGCUAACGCAUUAAGUAUCCCGCCUGGGGAGUACGGUCGCAAGACUGAAACUCAAAUGAAUUGACGG
rnacentral:rRNA from 1 species